rfam:Kluyvera ascorbata ATCC 33433 GKAS.assembly.003, whole genome shotgun sequence.
AACGAGGUACAGUUCUGUUUAUGUAUGGCAUUAUCAGUAAAGAAGUUCUGAGUAAACACGUUGACGUUGAAUACCGCUUCUCUGCCGAACCUUAUAUUAGUGCCGCAUGCAGUCAUGUCUCAGUUUUAUCUAUGAAAACGCCUGCGGGCGCAGAAAACACUCUAAGGAAUUUUGCAAAUGGCAAAGAUUAAAGGUCAAGUUAAGUGGUUCAACGAGUCUAAAGGUUUUGGUUUCAUUACUCCUGCUGACGGCAGCAAAGAUGUAUUCGUACAUUUCUCUGCAAUCCAGGGUAACGGCUUCAAAACUCUGGCUGAAGGUCAGAACGUUGAGUUCGAAAUUCAGGACGGCCAGAAAGGCCCAGCGGCUGUUAACGUAACCGCUAUCUGAUUCGACAAUCACUGAUCUUGCAGCGCGUUAGCGCGACAUUAUCAGACAUAAAGCCUCGCUAAUGCGGGGCUUUAUCAU